AUCGCUUCUUGGCCUUUUGGCUAAGAUCAAGUAUAGUGUCUGUUCUUAUCAGUUUAAUCAUAAUCCUGAACAUUUGUAUAGUAUGUUAUUAUUAGUAUUAUUAUUAUUAUUAUUAUUAUUUUGACAUGGAGUCUCACUCUGUUGCCCAGGCUGGAGUGUAAUGGAACGGCCUCAGCUCACUGCAGCCUCUGCCUC
rnacentral:snRNA from 1 species